GUGCCAGCAGCCGCGGUAAUACGUAGGGUCCAAGCGUUAAUCGGAAUUACUGGGCGUAAAGCGUGCGCAGGCGGUUGUGCAAGACCGAUGUGAAAUCCCCGGGCUUAACCUGGGAAUUGCAUUGGUGACUGCACGGCUAGAGUGUGUCGGAGGGGGGUAGAAUUCCACGUGUAGCAGUGAAAUGCGUAGAGAUGUGGAGGAAUACCGAUGGCGAAGGCAGCCCCCUGGGAUAACACUGACGCUCAUGCACGAAAGCGUGGGGAGCAAACAGGAUUAGAUACCCUGGUAGUCCACGCCCUAAACGAUGUCAACUAGUUGUUGGGGAUUCAUUUCCUUAGUAACGUAGCUAACGCGUGAAGUUGACCGCCUGGGGAGUACGGUCGCAAGAUUAAAACUCAAAGGAAUUGACGGGGACCCGCACAAGCGGUGGAUGAUGUGGAUUAAUUCGAUGCAACGCGAAGAACCUUACCAGG
rnacentral:rRNA from 1 species